rnacentral:rRNA from 1 species
UACCAGCACCCCGAGUGGUCGGGACGAUUAUUGGGCCUAAAGCAUCCGUAGCCGGUUUUACAAGUCCCCCGUUAAAUCCAGCUGCUUAACAGAUGGGCUGCGGAGGAUACUAUAAGACUAGGAGGCAGGAGAGGCAAGCGGUACUCAGUGGGUAGGGGUAAAAUCCGUUGAUCCAUUGAAGACCACCAGUGGCGAAGGCGGCUUGCCAGAAUGCGCUCGACGGUGAGGGAUGAAAGCUGGGGGAGCAAAGCCGG